rnacentral:rRNA from 1 species
UACAGAGGUCUCAAGCGUUGUUCGGAUUCAUUGGGCGUAAAGGGUGCGUAGGUGGUGCCGUAAGUCGGGUGUGAAAUCUCGGGGCUCAACCCCGAAACUGCAUUUGAUACUGCGGUGCUCGAGGACUGGAGAGGAGAUCGGAAUUCAUGGUGUAGCAGUGAAAUGCGUAGAUAUCAUGAGGAAGACCAGUGGCGAAGGCGGAUCUCUGGACAGUUCCUGACACUGAGGCACGAAGGCCAGGGGAGCAAACGGG